rnacentral:rRNA from 1 species
AUGGCUCCCGCUAUUGAGGCAGUGGAGAAGGUCAAGGUGGCAAGCACACCCGUUAAGCCUCCUGUUCUUAAUGAAAGAAUACUGUCAUCCAUGACCCGCAGACCUGGUUCAGCGCAUUCAUGGCAUGAUCUUGAGAUAGGCCCUGAUGCACCAACUAUCUUCAACUGUGUCAUUGAGAUACCUAGGGGCAGCAAGGUUAAAUAUGAACUUGACAAGAAAACUGGACUGAUAAUGGUGGACCGUGUGCUUUAUUCAUCAGUGGUGUACCCUCACAACUAUGGAUUCAUUCCCCGCACGCUGUGUGAUGACAGUGAUCCGAUGGAUGUGCUAGUUAUUAUGCAGGAGCCAGUUGUGCCGGGCUGUUUCCUCCGCGCAAAGGCCAUUGGCCUCAUGCCUAUGAUUGACCAGGGAGAGGCAGAUGAUAAGAUCAUUGCAGUGUGCGCUGACGACCCUGAGUACAAGCAUUUCAAUGAUAUCAAGGAGCUCCCACCUCACCGGUUGGCUGAAAUCAGACGCUUCUUUGAGGACUACAAGAAGAAUGAGAACAAGGAAGUUGCUGUGAACGACUUUCUGCCCGCGACUGCUGCUUACGAGGCCAUUCAGCAUUCCAUGGAUCUGUAUGCUACUUACGUCGUGGAGGGCCUGCGGAGGUAG